UGCCGCGUGCAGGAUGACUGCCCUAUGGGUUGUAAACUGCUUUUAUACGGGAAAAAACCCCCCUACGUGUAGGGGGCUGAUGGUACCGUAAGAAUAAGGAUCGGCUAACUCCGUGCCAGCAGCCGCGGUAAUACGGAGGAUCCAAGCGUUAUCCGGAUUUAUUGGGUUUAAAGGGUGCGUAGGCGGAAUAUUAAGUCAGUGGUGAAAGCCCGGAGCUCAACUCCGGAACUGCCAUUGAUACUGAUGUUCUUGAGUAUAGUUGAGGUAGGCGGAAUGUGUCAUGUAGCGGUGAAAUGCUUAGAGAUGACACAGAACACCGAUUGCGAAGGCAGCUUGCUAAACUAUUACUGACGCUGAGGCACGAAAGCGUGGGGAGCAAACAGGAUUAGAUACCCUGGUAGUCCACGCCCUAAACGAUGAUUACUCGAUGUGUGCGAUACACUGUACGCGUCUAAGCGAAAGCAUUAAGUAAUCCACCUGGGGAGUACGACCGCAAGGUUGAAACUCAAAGGAAUUGACGGGGGCCCGCACAAGCGGAG
rnacentral:rRNA from 1 species